rnacentral:lncRNA from 1 species
GUUUCUGUCAUACAUAUUUCCAAGCGAAAAUUAACUUGCUUUCCAGAAGAGCAGUAUUAAAAAGACUUCGACAAGUUAAGCCCGUUUUCAACUUCACCAUUUCGCUUGCCGCCCCGCGCUCGACUAUGUUAAAACAACAUUUCCAGUUCACCUUUUAUACAAUAGUACUUUGAUUUUCCAUUUAACAUACAAGCCUCUAUACAGUAGUCCCGGGAUAGGGUACAUUUUGAUUUACGUUGGACAAAGCUACAGUUCGGUUGGACAGCAAUACACUCGGGUAAGACAAACAAUAAACCUCAGUUUCACUUAGGUCG